UUUUCUAUAUUUUCGAACACAUGUGUUUGGUGAUUUUUUUCAUUUGAAUAAAAAUAUUAUAUAUCGAGAUUAUCACUCAAUUUAAUUAUGCAAUCUAUUCCAUUACGUCGAUUCAUUGGUAAUUAUUUACGACGAUCAACUUGCAAUCAUCAUGCAUUUCGUAUUAUGUCAACUGCUACCGGUGGUAACUUGAAUGAUGUCGAAUCGGCAAUGGAACCAACACAAACGCAGAUAAUUUCACAAUCGCAAGUGAUUGAUCCGAUAUUAGUGAAUAUUGCUCGAACCACUUUGACCGAUACGAAUAUAGCGGUCACACCAAUUCGGCAGGCAUGGAUUGAAAAUAUGUCAACGCCAAAUUCAAUCAAAUUAGGCUUAAUGGAAUUACAUCCAAAUAUUUUUUCCAUACAUCCACGACCUGAUGUCAUUCAAGAGAAUCAUAAAUGGCAAACAUUGUAUAAACACGUUGAUUGGACAUGUAUGAAAACACGAUCCGAAUUGAGAGGAUCAAAUCGUAAACCGUGGCCACAAAAAGGUACUGGACGUGCUCGUCACGGUAGUCGUCGCGCACCAAUGUGGAUUGGUGGUGGUUGGGCAACUGGUCCUCGUGGGCCGAAAACCUAUUUUUAUAUGUUACCAUUUCAUAAACGUUUAGCCGGUCUAAUUUCAACAUUGACCUCAAAAUUGGCACAAAAUGAUCUACAUAUAGUCGAUACAUUUGAAACAUUUCCAUUGGAUGGAACUGUUGAACAUUUGGAAGAAUUGUGUGAAACGCGUGGCUGGGGUCCUUCCGUUUUGUUCGUGGAUCAAAUUGAUGUCAGUCAAUAUCCAAUGGCAACCAGUGCACAACAUUUUCAACAAGCUUGUGAAUCAAUUAAUCAUAUGAAUGUCAUGCCAGUGUAUGGUCUUAAUGUAUAUUCAAUGCUUAAACAUGAAACACUUGUAUUGACAAUCGAUGCCAUACGUACUAUUGAACAACGAUUGUUAUUCAAUCUAAAUCGAAUCGAUUUACGUAAUGUCACCCACAAACAACAUCCAAAUCCUAUUCGUAAUAUGUAAAAUGUAAAUAUCCUAAUCAGUCAUCAGUCAUAUAUAUUGUAAUUGUAAUAGAUUCCAUAAUCGAAUUCUUUGUCUGAUGCUGCUGCUGUUGAAUAUUUUGAUUGGCACCAGCCGCCGUUGGA